UACGAAGGGGGCUAGCGUUGCUCGGAAUCACUGGGCGUAAAGCGCACGUAGGCGGCCCUUUAAGUCAGGGGUGAAAUCCUGGAGCUCAACUCCAGAACUGCCUUUGAUACUGAGAAGCUUGAGUCCGGGAGAGGUGAGUGGAACUGCGAGUGUAGAGGUGAAAUUCGUAGAUAUUCGCAAGAACACCAGUGGCGAAGGCGGCUCACUGGCCCGGUACUGACGCUGAGGUGCGAAAGCGUGGGGAGCAAACAGG
rnacentral:rRNA from 1 species